rnacentral:rRNA from 1 species
AAAAACAUGUCUUUUUGAUUAUAAUUUAAGGUCUGACCUGCCCAAUGAUUGUUUUAAAUGGCUGCAGUAUUUUGACUGUACAAAGGUAGCAUAAUCAUUAGUUUCUUAAUUAGGAGCUGGUAUGAACGGUUUGAUGAAAAAUUAACUGUCUCUGUUUAAUUGAAUUAGAAUUUUAUUUUUAAGUGAAAAAGCUUAAAUUUUUUAUAAAGACGAGAAGACCCUAUAGAGUUUUAUAUUUUUAUAAUUUUUAAUUUUAUGUUUUUAUUUUUAAUUAUUAUUGAAAAUAUUUUGUUGGGGUGACAGAAAAAUUUAAUUAACUUUUUUUAAUUUUUACACUAAUUGGUGAAUUUAUGAUCCUUUAUUAGAUUAGAAGAUUAAAUUACCUUAGGGAUAACAGCGUAAUUUUUUUUGAAAGUUCUUAUUGAUAAAAAAGUUUGCGACCUCGAUGUUGGAUUAAAAUUUGUUUUUGGUGUAGAAGCUUUAAAACUAGGUCUGUUCGACCUUUAA